AGAGUUUGAUCCUGGCUCAGGACGAACGCUGGCGGCGUGCCUAAUACAUGCAAGUCGAGCGCGUGAAAUUCGCGGAUCUCUUCGGAGUGAUGCGGAUGGAUCGAGCGGCGGACGGGUGAGUAACACGUGGGCAACCUGCCCGUAAGACUGGGAUAACUUCGGGAAACCGAAGCUAAUACCGGAUAGGCUUUCGCACCGCAUGGUGCGAAAGGGAAAGAUGCUUCUGGCAUCACUUACGGAUGGGCCCGCGGCGCAUUAGCUAGUUGGUGAGGUAACAGCUCACCAAGGCGACGAUGCGUAGCCGACCUGAGAGGGUGAUCGGCCACACUGGGACUGAGACACGGCCCAGACUCCUACGGGAGGCAGCAGUAGGGAAUCUUCCGCAAUGGACGAAAGUCUGACGGAGCAACGCCGCGUGAGCGAGGAAGGUCUUCGGAUCGUAAAGCUCUGUUGUCGGAGACGAACAAGCGUCAUAGGAAAUGAUGGCGCCAUGACGGUAUCCGACCAGAAAGCCCCGGCUAACUACGUGCCAGCAGCCGCGGUAAUACGUAGGGGGCGAGCGUUGUCCGGAAUUAUUGGGCGUAAAGCGCGCGCAGGCGGCUCCUUAAGUCUGGUGUGAAAGCCCGCGGCUCAACCGCGGAGGGUCAUUGGAAACUGGGGAGCUUGAGUGCAGGAGAGGAGAGUGGAAUUCCACGUGUAGCGGUGAAAUGCGUAGAGAUGUGGAGGAACACCGGUGGCGAAAGCGGCUCUCUGGCCUGUAACUGACGCUGAGGCGCGAAAGCGUGGGGAGCAAACAGGAUUAGAUACCCUGGGUAGUCCACGCCGUAAACGAUGAGUGCUAGGUGUUAGGGGGGUCCAACCCCUUAGUGCUGAAGUUAACACAUUAAGCACUCCGCCU
rnacentral:rRNA from 1 species